CCUACGGGUGGCUGCAGUAGGGAAUUUUGCGCAAUGGGCGUAAGCCUGAACCAGCCAAGUCGCGUGAGGGAUGAAGGUUCUAUGGAUCGUAAACCUCUUUUAUAAGGGAAUAAAGUGCGGGACGUGUACCGUUUUGUAUGUACCUUAUGAAUAAGGAUCGGCUAACUCCGUGCCAGCAGCAGCGGUAAUACGGAGGAUCCGAGCGUUAUCCGGAUUUAUUGGGUGUAAAGGGUGCGGAGGCGGAAGAUCAAGUCAGCGGUAAAAAUUCGGGGCUCAACCCCGUCGUGCCGUUGAAACUGAUGUUCUUGAGUGGGCGAGAAGUAUGCGGAAUGCGUGGUGUAGCGGUUAAAUGCAUAGAUAUCACGCAGAACUCCGAUUGCGAAGGCAACAUACCGGCGCCCAACUGACGCUGAAGCACGAAAGCGGGGGUAUCGAACAGGAUUAGAUACCCCUGUAGUC
rnacentral:rRNA from 1 species